rnacentral:lncRNA from 1 species
AUCUUUCCACCGACAUAGUGAUUUCUUCCCUGUGUGCUCGGUCAGAUGUCUUCUGUUUCUCAAUGAAUAAUGGUCUGGUCUGAAUCUGGAUUUAAUGAGGUUUACCUUUUGGUUAAAAGGAAAAAAAAAAAAAAAGAUAGCACUGAUACCAGCGCUGAAGUCUUCAGGUUUAUGACACUGUUUUUCUAAAGUAGAUUAGAAAUACCAUAGAAAGAUGUAAUCUAUAUGAGAUGCACCUCUUAACCUUCUCCAGUUCCAUCAUGCUUGACUUGGACUCUGCAUUUUUCUCCUUCAGGUCGUGAACUCAUUAGGUAAGUGAAAAGCCUGUAAUUCCACUCCCAGGCUCUCACACUAGGUAGCAAUUUGAAAACGUGCUGACAGUUGCCGUUAAUCAGGCUAGGGGUUCCAUCAGGCCCGUGCUGAGCUCCUCCUGGGAAGUCCUGAGUGUCUGGGGCUUGAGUGCUAGGGAGGUAUGCUGGAUCAGGCCACAAAUAUCUGCUUUUCCCAUUGAUUGAAGUCCAAGGCAAACAGGAAAAUUGAAGUCAGGAAUGAGUCUCUGAGAACUGUACAGUAUCAGAUACUGUCAUUGUCAUGGAGUGUUCCAGUUCAGGGCGACAGAAUUCAUCCCACAAACAAAAGUAUACACAAAAUUAAAUUAUCCUUUUUAGUGUCCAUGCAGGUUGCCAGAUCAUGGUUGGUUUCCUUGCUUUGACAGCAGUAGAAUCAGGAAGACGUGGAUUGGUGUGAAGCUUUAAUCUGUUUCUCAUGUCAGGUAAUGUUGCGUUAGACUAGAAAUCAAAGAGCGACCCCCUCAGCUCUCAACAAUACAUUGCUCUGCUUGAGGUGCAAUGAUGAGCUUGGAAAGAUUUUCAGAUGGUGGCCGCGAACCUGCCUAGUUACGUUAAACUGGGCUGAGCCGUAGCCAUGCGUGUGUGUUCCUUAAGGAUACAUUGUUUUGGAAUAUGCUGCAUGUAUUUAUUUUAAUUUGCUUUACUGUGGCAUCUAGCUACUAUAGUGAUAAAUGAUCUACAAGUAGCUAUGACUGAUGGUUUUUUAAAUGCAUAAAAUAAAGCAUUACAAGAACAUUCCCCA